CGGCUGCGGCCGCUCCCAGGGGAAACCGCCCGCGCGCCUCACGGACGGGCUCUGGGCCUGGGGGGCGGAACCUGUGUGGCUUUCCCUUCACAUCUUGCCCUCUCGGAGCUUGGCGGUGCUCCGGGGAGUCAACACAGGGGGAUAGAGCAGCUUUCCCUCACUAAAACUCAGUGCGGAGCCCUUCCCUCCGCCCUGUAUCCUGUCGUGAGGCACAAAUGCUCCGUGUCCCUCCAUUCCCCCCUCGCGGUCCCUUGCUGCCCGGCUGAUGCCUUUCUCCCGCCGCAGAGUGUCCCGAGGAGCCGGCGAGCCCUUGAAACGCUCCCGAUGGGCAGGAGGCCAAGCGCGGCAGGCCUGGGCAGGAGCAGCGCUGGCGGGCUGCGCUCACGCCUUGGGACGCCCAUGGGUGAGGGGCACACCGAGCUCAGCACCGCUACUACAGCCUGGGGCUGAGGCCUCACAUAGCAACCUCAUGCUUGAAAUGUUUUAGACAUGGGUAAUCACACCUAAAUGUGAAGCAAUGCUCAGGACUUCUUAGGAAUAAAUAAUGCCUUCUACUGGAAGGGAUGAAGACAACGUGUGCCAGGAAGUGACAUUCAACAUCAGUUUAUGAUUUCCUGAGUAGAUGAUUUGACUUCAUAUGAGAUGAUUCCAGUUGUCACCUCUAAGUAUUGUCUUGGAAGUAGAAUUGAGACAAGCAAUGGCUUAAAUGAUAUGUCUUCAAUGAUCAUGUUGAAACGGGCAUCUCACAGUUUGUUUAAACAAGUUUCCUAACAAUUCCUGCUGUAAUUUGACUGUUUGUGGAUUAAUUGAAAUAAAUUCAGUAUUAAUUAAAUAAGAGUAUGCUACCAAAA